rnacentral:snoRNA from 1 species
AUUGCCUCUUGAAUAACCGAAGUGGUGGUGCAACCUGCACGUAUCAUUCGGUUCAGAUGGGGGCACAAAUAGAGAUUGAAACAGUUUGAGGAUGAGGAACUCUCUCUUCAUCUUCAUGGUCCUUUUGUAAUUGAUUUCAAACUUAU